rnacentral:lncRNA from 1 species
GGGGACACCACAGUGGAAGAACAGAGAAGCCCCCGCUUUGAAGAGAAAAUAGACUUUUUAUUAGAAGUCACCAGAAAGAAGUUACCUCUGCCUCUGAGAAGACCAAGGCUACAGCUCUCUGCUGGGGACAAAAGACUUUGGGACUUCGAUGCUUCUGAGACCUGCUUGCAGGGAGGAGAGUGCAUUCAGCCAGGGCUGGGCCUGGGGACCUGGAUCAUCAAGUCUUUUUAGGCUGUCAUUAGCACGGUGCACCUGCUCUGUGGCCAGCGGGAGAACAGGCUUCAUGACUCUUCCCUCAGAGAGAUGAGACGCCCAGGAG